ACGAGACCGAUAGCGAACAAGUACCGUGAGGGAAAGUUGAAAAGCACUUUGAAGAGAGAGUUCAAGAGUACGUGAAACCGUUUAGGGGUAAACCUGAGAAACCCGAAAGGUCGAAGGGAGAAAUUCAUUCGUGUUUCGCGACAGGCGUUGGACGGUCGAGUGACGGAUAGAUCGUUCGCGAACUAUCCGCACCUUUCGUUUUUCGAUCCGGACGCGAACGCGUGCACUUUUCUCCUGGUAGGACGUCGCGAUCCGUUGGGUGUCGGUCUACGGCACGCGGUGGAGCCCGUCCGUCGUUUUAACGAACGUACGGAUGGACCCGCGUGGCCCGGCCGACCCGCUCGACGGUAUACGAAAGGUUAGAGGCCGCUCGAUUAUGAAGCGUUCGACUCGUGGCAAGCGCGCCAGAUGUGUCGGCGAUCGGACCCGGUGCCGAUUCUGACCUCUGGUGACUGUUGGCUACGAAGUUCUCGAACAGACCUCGUUGACCGAUCUGCGACGCUAUAGCUUUGGGUACUUUCAGGACCCGUCUUGAAACACGGACCAAGGAGUCUAGCAUGUGCGCGAGUCAUUGGGAAUCACUAAACCUAAAGGCGUAAUGAAAGUAAAGGUCUUCCUCGCGAGGACUGAGGGAAGACGGGCGGUUUACCCUUAAAAGUGGCCGCCCCGCACUCCCGGGGCGUCUCGUUCUCAUUGCGAGAAGAGGCGCACCAUGAGCGUACA
rnacentral:rRNA from 1 species